rnacentral:snRNA from 1 species
GGCAGUAUCGUAGCCAAUGAGGUUAAUCCGAGGCGCGAUUAUUGCUAAUUGAAAACUUUUCCCAAUACCCCGCCAUGACGACUUGAAAUAUAGUCGGCAUUGGCAAUUUUUGACAGUCUCUACGGAGA